AUCACCUGUGAUUAAUGGACAGCUGCACGCGACCACUCGCGCUUUUCUGAAAACGCACUGGUCGAAUGUCUGGUAGAGAAUUCAGACCAGACAGUCACCUGUGCUGUCCGGUAAUACGCAAAUACGUUCCGCAGCGCUUAAUAUCGGAUAAUAAUAUGCCCUGUUAAUAUAUGAACACUCCAUUGUUAAGAAAUGGAGCCAAAGAACCUGGACCUGUCUCAUUUUAGUUCGCCAGAAGAUAACAUCGCCACUUUGCACUUGACUUAGCUAGAAAAAUGAGCAUCGCAUGCUGGUGUAGUUGGAGUUUUAAGCGUCUUGGCUAGCAAGUUAGCAACAGCUGAGUGCUUUUCAUUCACGGGACCAGCCAGCCCAUCCUGACCUGGGAAACCACGGUUACCGGGAGCGCCCUAGAAACAAGGUGUCAGGAGAAUAAACUCACCGCAGAUCCUUUGGAUCCAGGAAUGCCGUCAGUACCAGGGUUACCCUGUAGAGACCAAACACAGCCGGGGAUCAGAGACUGAAACUGAGACUGAAACAGCCCUACCUUCACACCUUAUAACAGCACUGCAGGUGAGCCCUGCAGGUGAGCACUGCAGGUGAGCCCUGCAGGUGAGGGAGCUCUGCCUUAAGGAGAGUUCUCAUGCUUUGUGAUGAGCGUGCUUAAAAAUGCACAUCUGCACGUGUCAGUUGUAAAUAAUGUGUUAGUUCCCGUGUGUGUGUAUGUGGUUGCAGGUGAACAGAGUUUGUGUUCAGUGUUCAUGUCGUUUACACUGUGUAGGUUUCCCAGCUGGAGUGUACUAUAAGCACUAGGGGCUUUGGGAUGAGUGCAGUGGGAUGCAUAUGAUUUGGAGGACUGACACAAAUGGAGUUAUGGUGGGAAAUUUAUCAGAACAUAAAAGCUUUUUGAUCACAAA